UCCCUGCUGCCUUACCAAUUGGAAUAUGUUACUGCCAUCAGGACAGAUGCAUAGGUCCCUGAUUAUGUUCUUUGCUGCUCUGUCGUUCUGUUUUCUAUAGCUGCAGGUCGAGUUUCGGUAAUCACAUGGUUGGAGUAAAAGCCGUUUUUUUUGUUGUGAAAGUAAACGGAACUGCGGAUGCAGCUGCCGCUGAAUGCGAGCCAAAAGAAAAAGAGUUUAGUCUCGUAGUUAGAUCGCAAUCGAGCUUUAUCUUUUCAGGAACCGGAUGAAGCAUUAAGAAGAGUUAUACUGCGU